UGCCGGACCUGACUGCUAUCGGAUUGAUACUAAGCCAUGCGAGUCAUUGUAGCAAUACAAGGCAGACGGCUCAGUAACGCGUAGUCAACCUACCCUAUGGACGGGAAUAACCUCGGGAAACUGAGUAUAAUGCCCGAUAGAACAUUAUGCCUGGAAUGGUUUAUGUUCCAAAUGAUUUAUCGCCAUAGGAUGGGACUGCGGCCUAUCAGCUUGUUGGUGAGGUAAUGGCCCACCAAGGCGAUUACAGGUACGGGCUCUGAGAGGAGAAGCCCGGAGAUGGGUACUGAGACACGGACCCAGGCCCUAUGGGGCGCAGCAGGCGAGAAAACUUUGCAAUGUGCGAAAGCACGACAAGGUUAAUCCGAGUGGUUUCUGCUAAAGGAACCUUUUGUUAGUCCUAAAAACACUAACGAAUAAGGGGUGGGCAAGUUCUGGUGUCAGCCGCCGCGGUAAAACCAGCACCUCAAGUGGUCAGGAUGAUUAUUGGGCCUAAAGCAUCCGUAGCCGGCUUUGUAAGUUUUCGGUUAAAUCCAUGUGCUCAACGCAUGGGCUGCCGAAAAUACUGUAUAGCUAGGGAGUGGGAGAGGUAGACGGUACUCAGUAGGUAGGGGUAAAAUCCUUUGAUCUAUUGAUGACCACCUGUGGCGAAGGCGGUCUACCAGAACACGUUCGACGGUGAGGGAUGAAAGCUGGGGGAGCAAACCGGAUUAGAUACCCGGGUAGUCCCAGCUGUAAACGAUGCAGACUCGAUGAUGCAUUGGCAUAAUAGCCAGUGCAGUGUCGCAGGGAAGCCGUUAAGUCUGCCGCCUGGGAAGUACGUACGCAAGUAUGAAACUUAAAGGAAUUGGCGGGGGAGCACCACAAGGGGUGAAGCCUGCGGUCAAU
rnacentral:rRNA from 1 species